AGCAGUUACUUCCAGAAAGGGUCUCUUCCCUUACCCCCCACUUCAGACGUUUUCUAUGACACUAUUAAGCCACAGGAGCCGUUUAUAAAUGUCAUCAUCAUAGUCUUUUAAUAUUUUACAUAAAAAACUGUAUACACAGCUUAUAGAACUUUUAUGUAAACAUCAUAAGCUCACCACUUUGUCAUCUGUCAGUUUAUUUAAAAAAAAAUAAAACAAAAACAAAACAAGACAAUUUAGUAGAAGUACCACUGGGCUGGGAAAGGAGGGAAUAAGGAAGAGGAAGCUUUGCUCUGCACAGAGAAUGUACAGAAAAUUUCACAUAGAUGAAGAGACUUGUCUUGUGGGGAGAGGGAGGGAGGUUUAAAUAGACCCCAAUACGUGUUGCCUUCCUUUACCAAAACUGUGUGUAUGCUACACAAAUUUUUAAAAAGUCACAUGGUUGACAUUUUUUUCAAGAAAACAAAGCAAAAAUUAGAAUCUUUUUUGUAAUCUCCUUAAAGUCAUCAUAGUUUGUUUUAAAAAAAAAACAUCAGAAGUAGAUGAGGUUACAGCAUACAAGUGUGGUCAAAAUGCUGCCUUAUGCAAAUGACAAGUGCACUGGGUGUCAAACAAUGGGACAAUUGUGCAAAGAAUUCUUUCAUCAACAACAAAAAAAGCUUCAGCCUUUAAAUAAAUUCAGCAACAAUAGUCUCUCGACUGAACAAUGUUCACUUGUAGGACAGGCACAAAGUUCGCUUAUGGCAAAAGUGACCCCACAGCACACCCUGGAUCCUCUGCAGGUGGCUGGAAAGGAGGUUCGCUGGGGCUUGGCCCAGGAGACACUGUGUCUGGGAGCUGCUUCCUCUCAACCUCAAGUCAGUUGCAAAUGUCUUCCCAGGGUGUGGAAAGAUGGCCGAGUCCAGUUCAUGCUUGGAUGGGUGGGCUCCUGACCCAGCCUGGGAAGAGUUGCUCAUGGGCCCUGGUCACACCACUCACCACUAAACAAUACCAUUCUGCCUCCGAAAAUAAAAUCUGUAUUUAUGUAACAUCCCCAUCCUCCCCAGCCCUCCCCUCCCGUGAUUCCAGGGGGUCUAUGUUACAGACAUGGAGCAACAGUAGUGGCUUGCUGGUUACAAGCGAACAUCUGCUGGGGCUCAACCACUCUGCAUGCCCCUGGGGAAACCAGAGGCGGGGGUGGGGCAGGAGUGGGGUAGGGGUGUAGGGAGUCGUACACACACACAACCACACUUCGAGGCCUGGCUCUUUAGAAAAGGACGCUCAGGAACCCCUUGGCACUCAGCAGGGCGCCCAGGCCUGUGCCACACAGCUGGACACACACAGACACUGGGAAGGGGGGAGCUCGGUGCCCACGCUAAUAUUCAGCGUGACCAGCCAGAGCCACCAGCAGAUGUCAGGCAGUCUGGUGGUGUCCUCGGGGGCACGGGUCUCCCUUUCUCCCGGUUAGUGGGCGACCGGGCCAAGGAGGGGGAGCCACGCUGGCAAGGGCGUGAGGCAGGGCGCGGCCUUCAUAGCACCUUGCAGCAGUUGAUGCAGCCAUUCUGGGAUCCGUAGCGCUUCUGCAGCGCGGCGCGCGUGGCCGUCUCGAAAACCUCGCGCACGCCCUCCUUGGUCUUGGCCGAGCACUCGAGGUAGUCAUAGGCUUGGAUGCGCACCGCCAUGGCGCGGCCGUCAUCCGUGCGCACUGGCUCCUGCUUCAUGCGGGCCAGCUCCGUGCGGACAUGCUCAUCGCUGCGCAGGUCUUUUUUGUUGGCCACCAAGAUGAUGGGCACAUUGGGGCAGAAGUGCUUUACCUCGGGCACCCACUUCUCGGGGAUGUUCUCGAGAGAGUCCGGGCUGUCUACCGAGAAGCACAUAAGGAUGACGUCGGUGUCCGGGUAGGAGAGCGGCCGUAAACGAUCGUAGUCCUCCUGGCCCGCCGUGUCCCACAGCGCCAGCUCCACCUGCUUGCCGUCCACCUCGAUGUCCGCCACAUAGUUCUCGAACACGGUGGGCACGUACACUUCGGGGAACUCGUCCUUACUGAACACGAUCAGCAGGCACGUCUUGCCGCACGCGCCGUCGCCCACCACCACCAGCUUCUUGCGGAUGGCCGCCAUGAGCUCGCCGGGCGCGGGCAGCAGGAGGGGCCCGCGAGCGCCUCGCCGCCGUCCCGCUCCCUGCUUGCCGCUUCCCGCUCUCCCGCGACCGCGCGAUGCGGGCUAGGCACGCUAACUGCACCUGGACCCCGCGGUGGAGCGUUCUCUCGGGGCGCUCCGGCUGCCGCGGCAGGGGCGCAGGGGCAUACGAUGCACGGAGUGUCGCCGCGCUGCUGCCGGGUAGUGUUCUCGGCUGUCCCGGAGUCGCGCUGCUUUGUGCGAGUCGAUGGCUGAUUUUGCGGACCCGGCCUAGCUUCUUUCCCGGGGCGGGUUCUUCUCCAGACCUAGGGUACAGGGGCGCAGACGACGACAAGCGGACUGCGGUGGCAGAUGCGGGCUGCGGCCCUAGCGCCCGCUAUUUAAAGAGUCCGGCCACUUUCUUAAUAUAGCCACCCAAUGGGAAGCCACAGGGCUGAGCUCAUCGCU
ensembl:lncRNA Rhob ras homolog family member B